rnacentral:rRNA from 1 species
UACGUAGGGCGCAAGCGUUGUCCGGAAUUAUUGGGCGGAAAGAGCUCGUAGGCGGUUUGUCGCGUCUGUCGUGAAAGCCCACGGCUUAACUGUGGGUCUGCGGUGGAUACGGGCAGACUAGAGGCAGGUAGGGGAGAAUGGAAUUCCCGGUGUAGCGGUGAAAUGCGCAGAUAUCAGGAGGAACACCGAUGGCGAAGGCAGGUCCCUGGGCCGAUACUGACGCUGAGGAGCGAAAGCGUGGGGAGCGAACAGG